rnacentral:rRNA from 1 species
UAGGUUGCUAUAGAAUGUUGAGAGUGGCGCACGGGUGCGUAACGCGUGAGCAACCUACCCAUAUUGGGGGGAUAGCCCGAAGAAAUUCGGAUUAACACCGCAAAAGACUACUAGAUGGCCUCAUCAAGCAGUUAAAUAUUUAUAGGAUAUGGAUGGGCUCGCGUGACAUUAGCUAGUUGGUGAGGUAACGGCUCACCAAGGCGACGAUGUCUAGGGGCUCUGAAAGGAUAAUCCCCCACACUGGUACUGAGACA